rnacentral:rRNA from 1 species
UUCGGAAUAACUGCGGGAAACUGUAGCUAAUACCGGAUGUGUCUGUAAAGAGAAAGAUUUAUCGCCUUCAGAUGAGCCCGCACUAGAUUAGCUAGUUGGUGAGGUAACUGCUCCACCAAGGCUACGAUCUAUAGCUGAUUUGAGAGGAUGAUCAGCCACACUGGGACUGAGACACGGCCCAGACUCCUACGGGAGGCAGCAGUAGGGAAUAUUGGACAAUGGGGGAAACCCUGAUCCAGCAAUGCCGCGUGAGUGAAGAAGGCCUUCGGGUUGUAAAACUCUUUCAUCAAUGAUGAUAAUGACAUUAGUUGAAGAAGAAGCUCCGGCUAACUUCGUGCCAGCAGCCGCGGUAAUACGAAGGGGGCUAGCGUUGUUCGGAAUCACUGGGCGUAAAGCGUAUGUAGGCGGAUCAAAAAGUUAGAUGUGAAAUCCCUGGGCUCAACCCAGGAACUGCAUUUAAAACUAGUGAUCUAGAAUUUGGUAGGGGUUAGUAGAAUUUCCAGUGUAGAGGUGAAAUUCGUAGAUAUUGGAAAGAAUACCAGUGGCGAAGGCGACUAACUGGGCCAUUUUUGACGCUGAGAUACGAAAGCGUGGGUAGCAAACAGGAUUAGAUACCCUGGUAGUCCACGCAGUAAACGAUGAGUGCUAGUCGCUGGGACAAUAGUUUCAGUGUCGAAGCUAACGCAUUAAGCACUCCGCCUGGGAAGUACGGU